GAACGCUAGCUACAGGCUUAACACAUGCAAGUCGAGGGGCAGCAUGGUCUUAGCUUGCUAAGGCCGAUGGCGACCGGCGCACGGGUGAGUAACACGUAUCCAACCUGCCGUCUACUCUUGGACAGCCUUCUGAAAGGAAGAUUAAUACAAGAUGGCAUCAUGAGUCCGCAUGUUCACAUGAUUAAAGGUAUUCCGGUAGACGAUGGGGAUGCGUUCCAUUAGAUAGUAGGCGGGGUAACGGCCCACCUAGUCUUCGAUGGAUAGGGGUUCUGAGAGGAAGGCCCCCCACAUUGGAACUGAGACACGGUCCAAACUCCUACGGGAGGCAGCAGUGAGGAAUAUUGGUCAAUGGGCGAGAGCCUGAACCAGCCAAGUAGCGUGAAGGAUGACUGCCCUAUGGGUUGUAAACUUCUUUUAUAAAGGAAUAAAGUCGGGUAUGGAUACCCGUUUGCAUGUACUUUAUGAAUAAGGAUCGGCUAACUCCGUGCCAGCAGCCGCGGUAAUACGGAGGAUCCGAGCGUUAUCCGGAUUUAUUGGGUUUAAAGGGAGCGUAGAUGGAUGUUUAAGUCAGUUGUGAAAGUUUGCGGCUCAACCGUAAAAUUGCAGUUGAUACUGGAUAUCUUGAGUGCAGUUGAGGCAGGCGGAAUUCGUGGUGUAGCGGUGAAAUGCUUAGAUAUCACGAAGAACUCCGAUUGCGAAGGCAGCCUGCUAAGCUGCAACUGACAUUGAGGCUCGAAAGUGUGGGUAUCAAACAGGAUUAGAUACCCUGGUAGUCCACACGGUAAACGAUGAAUACUCGCUGUUUGCGAUAUACAGCAAGCGGCCAAGCGAAAGCGUUAAGUAUUCCACCUGGGGAGUACGCCGGCAACGGUGAAACUCAAAGGAAUUGACGGGGGCCCGCACAAGCGGAGGAACAUGUGGUUUAAUUCGAUGAUACGCGAGGAACCUUACCCGGGCUUAAAUUGCAGAUGAAUUACGGUGAAAGCCGUAAGCCGCAAGGCAUCUGUGAAGGUGCUGCAUGGUUGUCGUCAGCCCGUGCCGUGAGGUGUCGGCUUAAGUGCCAUAACGAGCGCAACCCUUGUUGUCAGUUACUAACAGGUUCCGCUGAGGACUCUGACAAGACUGCCAUCGUAAGAUGUGAGGAAGGUGGGGAUGACGUCAAAUCAGCACGGCCCUUACGUCCGGGGCUACACACGUGUUACAAUGGGGGGUACAGAGGGCCGCUACCACGCGAGUGGAUGCCAAUCCCCAAAACCUCUCUCAGUUCGGACUGGAGUCUGCAACCCGACUCCACGAAGCUGGAUUCGCUAGUAAUCGCGCAUCAGCCACGGCGCGGUGAAUACGUUCCCGGGCCUUGUACACACCGCCCGUCAAGCCAUGGGAGCCGGGGGUACCUGAAGUGCGUAACCGCGAGGAGCGCCCUAGGGUAAAACUGGUGACUGG
rnacentral:rRNA from 1 species